AUUAGAGAGUAUUAUAACUCCCAAACCCAUGUGAACAUACCUCUCGUUGCCUCGGCGGAGAGAGAGAUUACCCCGGUGUGGUUACCCGGAGGCGCAUACCCGGUAUGCGCCGCCCGGCACUCCAGGGCUAUCUCUCCCGCCGCCGCUGGCCCGCGAAACUCUGUUUUAUUUUGGAACUCUGAAUAGUAAACUAAAUAAGUUAAAACUUUCAACAACGGAUCUCUUGGUUCUGGCAUCGAUGAAGAACGCAGCGAAAUGCGAUAAGUAAUGUGAAUUGCAGAAUUCAGUGAAUCAUCGAAUCUUUGAACGCACAUUGCGCCCAUUAGUAUUCUAGUGGGCAUGCCUGUUCGAGCGUCAUUUCGACCAUUAAGCCUUUGUUGCUUAGCGUUGGGAGUCUACUGGCCUGGCUUGUAACUCCUCAAAGUUAGUGGCGGAGUUAGUGCAUACUCUAGGCGUAGUAAUAUAUCAUCUCGCCUUUGUAGUUGCCCUGGCGCUUGCCGUAAAACACCCAAUUUUAAUAGGUUUGACCUCGGAUCAGGUAAGAAUACCCGCUGAACUUAAGCAUAUCAAUAAGCGGAGGAAAAGAAACCAACAG
rnacentral:rRNA from 1 species